AUUUUCCGACAGGGGAGCGCUACAGCGCUGAGAGUGCGGCAUCGGCCGCAGACCCUCCGAACCUCGCCCAGGUCAUUCUGGGUAGGGAGAUCGGUCAUCACUCGAG
rnacentral:ncRNA from 1 species